UCAGCAUAUCAAGAGCGGAGGAAAAGAAACUAACAAGGAUUCCCUUAGUAACUGCGAGUGAAGAGGGAAAAGCUCAAAUUUAAAAUCUGGCAGUGUUUCACUGUCCGAGUUGUAACCUAGAGAAGUGUAACCUGUGCUGGACCGUGUAUAAGUCUCCUGGAAUGGAGCAUCAUAGAGGGUGAGAAUCCCGUCUUUGACAUGGACUACCAGUGCAUUGUGGUUGCGCUCUCAACGAGUCGAGUUGUUUGGGAAUGCAGCUCUAAAUGGGUGGUAAAUUCCAUCUAAAGCUAAAUAUUGGCGAGAGACCGAUAGCGAACAAGUACCGUGAGGGAAAGAUGAAAAGAACUUUGGAAAGAGAGUUAAACAGUAUGUGAAAUUGUUGAAAGGGAAACGUUUGAAGUCAGUCGCGUUGGUUGGGGAUCAGCCUGACAUUGUUGGGUGUACUUCCUGGUUGACGGGCCAACAUCAGUUUUGACUGCCAGAAAAAGGCCAAAGGAAUGUGGCACCUUUGGGUGUGUUAUAGCCCUUGGUCGUAUAUGGUGGUUGGGACUGAGGAAAGCAGCGUGCCGAAAGGCCGGGUUUCGACCACGUUCACGCUGAGGAUGUUGGCAUAAUGGCUUUAAGCGACCCGUCUUGAAACACGGACCAAGGAGUCUAACAUGCGUGCGAGUGUUUGGGUGGAAAACCCUUACGCGUAAUGAAAGUGAAAGUUGAGAUCCCUGUCGCGGGGAGCAUCGACGCCCGGACCAGAACUUUUGGGACGGAUCUGCGGUAGAGCAUGUAUGUUGGGACCCGAAAGAUGGUGAACUAUGCCUGAAUAGGGUGAAGCCAGAGGAAACUCUGGUGGAGGCUCGUAGCGAUUCUGACGUGCAAAUCGAUCGUCAAAUUUGGGUAUAGGGGCGAAAGAC
rnacentral:rRNA from 2 species